rnacentral:ncRNA from 2 species
UUUUCACCGGUGCGGCGGCGCCAUGUAACAAUGCGCUGGUAAGGCGAUGACGAUGAGGAAGCCGGUGCGAAUCCGGCGCGGUCCCGCCACUGUCAUCGGGGAGUGAACCUCACUGCCACGGCCCGUGCGUUUACGAGCUGGAAGGCGAGGGGAGCAGCGAUCCGAGAGCCAGGAUACUCACGUCGUCGCAUCCUGCGAU